rnacentral:tRNA from 1 species
GGGGUCAUAGCUCAGUCGGGAGAGCGACGCAAUCGCACUGCGUAGGUCAGGAGUUCAACUCUCCUUGGCUCCACCA